rnacentral:rRNA from 1 species
UGAAUACGAGACGCUAAGGCGUCGAAGUAGUGUAUGUCAUACUUCCAAGAAAAGCUUGCACUGUCAUAGAUAAAAAACGCCUGUACCAUAACCGACACAGGUGGGUAGGUAGAGUAUACUAAGGGGCGCGAGAUAACUCUCUCUAAGGAACUCGGCAAAAUAACUCCGUAACUUCGGGAGAAGGAGUGCCUUAUUCGUAAGGUUGCAAUAACAAGAUCCAAGCAACUGUUUAUCAAAAACACAGGUCUCCGCUAAGUCGUAAGACGAUGUAUGGGGGCUGACGCCUGCCCAGUGCCAGAAGGUUAAAGAAGUUGGUUAGCAAUUGCGAAGCUGAUAACUGAAGCCCUGGUGAACGGCGGCCGUAACAAUAACGGUCCUAAGGUAGCGAAAUUCCUUGUCGGGUAAGUUCCGACCCGCACGAAAGGCGUAAUGAUUUGGAUACUGUCUCGGAGAGGGGCUCGGUGAAAUAGACUUGUCUGUGAAGAUGCGGACUACCUGCACCAGGACAGAAAGACCCUAUGAAGCUUUACUGUAACUUGAAAUUGAAAUUGGACUUUAUUCGCGCAGUAUAGGUGGGAGGCGUUGAUUAUAAUCUUGUGGGAUUAUUGGAGCCAUCAGUGAGAUACCACUCUUGUAAUGUUAGAUUUCUACCUUUGAAUCAUUAUCUGGUCAAAGAACAGUUUCAGGCGGGCAGUUUGACUGGGGCGGUCGCCUCCUAAACGGUAACGGAGGCGUACAAAGGUUUCCUCUGAACGGUUAGAAAUCGUAUCUAGAGUGUAAAGGCAUAAGGAAGCUUGACUGUGAGACCUACAAGUCGAGCAGGGACGAAAGUCGGUCUUAGUGAUCUGACGGUACUGAGUGGAAAGGCCGUCACUCAACGGAUAAAAGUUACUCUAGGGAUAACAGGCUGAUCUCCCCCAAGAGUUCACAUCGACGGGGAGGUUUGGCACCUUGAUGUCGGCUCAUCGCAUCCUGGGGCGGUAGUACGUCCCAAGGGUUGGGCUGUUCGCCCAUGAAAGCGGUACGCGAGCUGGGCUCAGAACGUCGUGAGACAGUUCGGUCCAUAUCCGGUGUAGGCGUUAGAAUAUUGAGAGGAGCCUUCUUUAGUACGAGAGGACCGAGAAGGACAUACCUCUGGUGUACCAGUUAUCGUGCCAACGGUAAACGCUGGGUAGCUAUGUAUGGAGUGGAUAACCGCUGAAAGCAUCUAAGUGGGAAGCCCACCUCAAGAUAAGUAUUCUC